UUAGAGGACGGGGAGGAUGAAACGCUUUGGAUGAUAGUAAAUGUCAUGGCUUAAAACCUCAUAUACAAUUACUAAAAAAACACACAAGCGUGGGAGGUGGACAUCCUUUUGGUCACUUUAUUAAAUGUUAUAUUAAAUACUUAUCAAGAUAAUAGCAGAACAGAUUAAUGACAAAUCAUGUUGGUGUAUUUGCUAACAUAACAUUCUUAAGGGCAGAAAAAGAAAGUCUAGAUUUCAAUCUAGAUGUAAUACACUUUGUGCAAUAACAGGAGCCAACGCUCCCCUACGAACAAAUCCAUGUAUGCCUCAUCUUAACAGCUACACCAGGAUUAAGUAUCGGGAGACAAGUAGGCCGGCAAGCUGGAAAAAGGUAGUGUGGGCGCCGGGGUCUGACCAGAGAGUCCUCCUCCUCACAUAUCCUUGGCGUCUGGCUCAGCCAUGCUCGUCGCUGGGAUCCACAGCUCCUGCUUUGACGUACAUAGGGAAGCCUCGGUCUGAACGGCAUGGUUUCAAUUCACUUUGAGAUACUUUUGUUACCAAGACAGGGCAGAGGGGGGAAGGGGGAGAAAGCAGAGUAGUGUCCGACAGCUUGGCAAACCGAAAGGUGCUAUGUGAGGACGAGUCCUUCCAUCCUAGCUUUAGGCGCAACACAAGUGCAACAGAAACAAUGAACAGGACGCACAGCGCUAAUGCUAACACUUGACGACGAAGAGGAUGUUACGAAAACGUUAACAGGAACUGGCAGGCAGUUUGGAAACGACACAAGCAUUCCGUUACAAUGUUCAGCAACAACUAAUGUAAAUGCCGAGAAGCGCAAUUUAAAAAAGAUUUUUCCACCCUCUCAAACUUCAUUCUUUUACAGAAUAUUUUAGGAAAUGGUUAUAAGGCCGUAACAUUUUUUUUUCUACUUUGAGUUUUUUUUUUUUGUCGUUUUAUCUCCUGAGAGCAAAAAUUCGCAGCACCAAUAGCAUUCUUCUAGCAAGUUAUUGGUAAUGGAAUCUAUAAGGGGAUAAAAUGGAUCCGGUCUGCAACAACUCUGGUCCCACACUGAUUUAGUUAGCCAUUUAAAACUGUAUAAAAAACAACUGAGUGUAAAUAAUCACAAGCCCUCGUUUAAAAGGGGGAAAAUGCAAUGCCUGAAAGCAUUUUGGACUAAAUCGUUUUUUUUUUUUAUUAAAUACAUGGAAAAAAUGAAGAAUAUAGAACUGGAACAUUAAGGCAGUAUAUACAUAAUUUCUGCAGAAAUUUUCUAAUACAACCCAGUCCACACGUGUCUUUGUACACUGAAAAUCGUCCCGGCCUACCCCCAGUGUCUGGGAACUGGACGAGGAAGGGGGAGAUUGGAGUGGAGGGGAGAGAGGAAGAGGGAGGGAGGGAGGGAGGGAGGGAGGGAUUGAGGAGCAGAGUCUGCUCCUCUGUA
ensembl:lncRNA